AGGCGCGAAAACUUUACAAUGCCGGCAACGGCGAUAAGGGGACCUCGAGUGCCAGGUUACAAAUCUGGCUGUCGUAAUGCCUAAAAAGCAUUGCAUAGCAAGGGCCGGGCAAGACCGGUGCCAGCCGCCGCGGUAACACCGGCGGCUCGAGUGGUAACCGUUAUUAUUGGGUCUAAAGGGUCUGUAGCCGGCCGGAUAAGUCUCUUGAGAAAUCCAGCAGCUCAACUGUUGGGCUUUCAGGAGAUACUGUCUGGCUCGAGGCCGGGAGAGGUGAGAGGUACUUCAGGGGUAGGGGUGAAAUCUUGUAAUCCUUGAAGGACCACCAGUGGCGAAGGCGUCUCACCAGAACGGACCUGACGGCAAGGGACGAAAGCUAGGGGCACGAACCGGAUUAGAUACCCGGGUAGUCCUAGCCGUAAACGAUACUCGCUAGGUGUCGGCCACGGUGCGACCGUUGUCGGUGCCGUAGGGAAGCCGUGAAGCGAGCCACCUGGGAAGUACGGCCGCAAGGCUGAAACUUGAAGGAAUUGGCGGGGGAGCACUACAACGGGUGGAGCCUGCGGUUUAAUUGGAUUCAACGCCGGGAAGCUUACCGGGUGCGACAGCUGGAUGAAGGCCAGGCUAAAGACCUUGCUGGACUAGCUGAGAGGAGGUGCAUGGCCGUCGUCAGUUCGUACUGUGAAGCAUA
rnacentral:rRNA from 1 species